rnacentral:rRNA from 1 species
AACGAUGGAUAUCUUGGUUCCCAUAACGAUGAAGAACGCAGCGAAGUACGAUAAGCAGUGCGAAUUGCAGAACCGUGAGUCAUCAGAUCUUUGAACGCAACUGGCGCU